AUUGAACGCUGGCGGCGUGCUUAACACAUGCAAGUCGAACGGUGAACGAGGGAGCUUGCUCCCUCCGGAUCAGUGGCGAACGGGUGAGUAACACGUGAGCAAUCUGCCCUGGACUCUGGGAUAAGCGUUGGAAACGACGUCUAAUACCGGAUACGAGGCGUGGGGGCAUCCCCAACGCCUGGAAAGAACUUCGGUCCAGGAUGAGCUCGCGGCCUAUCAGCUAGUUGGUGAGGUAACGGCUCACCAAGGCGACGACGGGUAGCCGGCCUGAGAGGGUGACCGGCCACACUGGGACUGAGACACGGCCCAGACUCCUACGGGAGGCAGCAGUGGGGAAUAUUGCACAAUGGGCGCAAGCCUGAUGCAGCAACGCCGCGUGAGGGACGACGGCCUUCGGGUUGUAAACCUCUUUUAGCAGGGAAGAAGCGAAAGUGACGGUACCUGCAGAAAAAGCACCGGCUAACUACGUGCCAGCCGCCGCCGUAAUAC
rnacentral:rRNA from 1 species